UACGAAGGUCCCAAGCGUUAUCCGGAUUUAUUGGGUUUAAAGGGUGCGUAGGUGGCCUGGUAAGUCAGUGGUGAAAGUUUUCGGCUUAACCGGAAAAUUGCCAUUGAUACUGUCGGGCUUGAAUUCAGAUGAGGUAGGCGGAAUGUGUCAUGUAGCGGUGAAAUGCGUAGAGAUCGGGAGGAACAUCCGUGGCGAAGGCGGCCAUCUGGAUCAACACUGACGCUGAGGCACGAAAGCGUGGGGAGCAAACAGG
rnacentral:rRNA from 1 species